CGGCUCCUUGGCAGAGGAGUUGAUUGUGUUUUCGGCUGGAUACUAAAUCCAAAAACUAUGUAAAAAUGUCAAUAGAAGGUUGGAGUUUUAAUGAUGCAGGCGGCUCCGGGGGCCAGGCUGGGCAGCAUGGCCUGCACCUUGGCUGACGGGCUGGGGGACCCUGGCUGCCCACCUCAGGAAGGACUGAAAUUAGUCUUGCUUGGAGGCAGGGUCCUGAUCACAAGCAACUCUGGAAGGUCAGAAAAAGAUGGAUCCACUGGGAUUCAGAGAAGAUAGACCUGCCUGAGGUCAUACACCUGGCUCGCAUGUGCCUACCUUUGACUCUUGUUAAUUAAUGGAAGAUCUCUGUGUCUCCAUUUCCUCAUCUGUAAAAUGGGGAUAACAGUAGUUCCACCGCACAGGGCUGCUGGAGCAUGCUUGGAAACGACUUGUGUAAGGGCUUGCUGUUUGCUUGGCAUACAGUAAAUGUCCAAUAAGUAGCAGUUCUCUUUCUUGUAGUAAAAUUCUCCAGUCUGGGAUCCAGGCUCCAG